AAUCCUCCAUCCACAAUUCAAAAUGACCCAGAAAAACAUUAUUGUCUUCCCUCUAUAUUUCUCUACUAACAAUGGCAGUACCCUCCACAACUGGAAUCCCUAAUCGUUCUCUCAGACUUUCUCUCUCCAUAAUCGUAUCAAUAUUUAUAUUUUAAAUUUCGUUUUGCAGUUGUGCCAGCAAAGUUUAUGUGGGGUUAAGAGUUCAAUCUCCAAUUCCAAGUUUCUACUCCCAAGGCUUCAAUUUGUUCAAAAUUUAAUCUUUGGUUUAGAAUUUGUAAUUAUUUUUUGUUUAAAAUUUCGCAAAUUCUUAUGGGGUUGGAACGGUUUUACAAAUGCAUUAAGUCCGGAUAAAUUUCUGCUAUUUGUAAUUUCUGGGUAGGUAUAUUUUUUCAAUCUGAAUGUAUACUAGAAUUUUCAAGAAACUUGGAAUUUAAUGAUUUUCAUUGAAUUCAAAAAUAAUCUUCUCCUUCAUCCUGCUUUUUGUGAAUAAUAAUAGGUCUGAUUGAGACUUGUUGAUUUGAAGUUUGUACAGUCGACGAUUGUGGAGGAUUUUGAAGUAAAUGACGAUGGUAGACUAGGUCCGAUCGUA
rnacentral:lncRNA from 1 species